UACGUAGGCAGCGAGCGUUGUUCGGAGUUACUGGGCGUAAAGGGUGUGUAGGCGGUUUUCUAAGUUUGGUGUGAAAUCUCCCGGCUCAACCGGGAGGGUGCGCCGAAAACUGGGAGACUAGAGUGCGGGAUGGGAGAGUAGAAUUCCCGGUGUAGCGGUGAAAUGCGCAGAUAUCGGGAGGAACACCAGUGGCGAAGGCGGCACUCUGGGCCGUGACUGACGCUGAGGAGCGAAAGCGUGGGUAGCAAACAGG
rnacentral:rRNA from 1 species